AUUGAACGCUGGCGGCAUGCCUUACACAUGCAAGUCGAACGGCAGCACGGGAGCAAUCCUGGUGGCGAGUGGCGAACGGGUGAGUAAUAUAUCGGAACGUGCCCAGUCGUGGGGGAUAACGUAGCGAAAGCUACGCUAAUACCGCAUACGAUCUAUGGAUGAAAGCGGGGGAUCGCAAGACCUCGCGCGAUUGGAGCGGCCGAUAUCAGAUUAGGUAGUUGGUGAGGUAAAGGCUCACCAAGCCGACGAUCUGUAGCUGGUCUGAGAGGACGACCAGCCACACUGGGACUGAGACACGGCCCAGACUCCUACGGGAGGCAGCAGUGGGGAAUUUUGGACAAUGGGGGCAACCCUGAUCCAGCAAUGCCGCGUGAGUGAAGAAGGCCUCGGUGUAAGCUCUUUGUUCAGGGAAGAAACAGACAGCUCUAACACAGUCUGCGAAUGACGGUACCUGAAGAAUAAG
rnacentral:rRNA from 1 species